rnacentral:rRNA from 1 species
AACGAACGCUGGCGGCAUGCCUAACACAUGCAAGUCGAACGAGACCUUCGGGUCUAGUGGCGCACGGGUGCGUAACGCGUGGGAACCUUCCCUUAGGUUCGGAAUAACUCCCCGAAAGGGGUGCUUAUACCGGAUAAUGUCUUCGGACCAAAGAUUUAUCGACUUUGGUUGGGCCCGAGUUGGAUUAGCUAGUUGGUAGGGUAAUAGCCUACCAAGGCGACGAUCCAUAGCUGGUCUGAGAGGAUGAUCAGCCACACUGGGACUGAGACCCGGCCCAGACUCCUACGGGAGGCAGCAGUGGGGAAUAUUGGACAAUGGGCGAAAGCCUGAUCCAGCAAUGCCGCGUGAGUGAUGAAGGCAUUAGGGUUGUAAAGCUCUUCUACCCGGGAUGAUAAUGACAGUACCGGGAGAAUAAGCUCCGGCUAACUCCGUG